GGAGUAUAUGUGGCAAUGCUUUGACCCCGAAACGUGGUGUUUUUGGCAAGACCGGGGAUCUGCAGUCAAUACUGUGCCUGGCCUGUGCAAGAGAUGAAGUCACUUAUUCUGGUGCACUCAAUGGGGAUAUAUAUGUGUGGAAGGGGAUUAAUCUUGCCCGAACAGUUCAAGGUGCCCAUGGGUCAGGAAUUUUCAGCAUGAAUGCUUGCGAGGAAGGAUUUGCCACUGGGGGGCGAGAUGGUUGUGUUCGCCUGUGGGAUUUAAAUUUCAAACCAAUUACUGUGAUUGAUCUCAGGGAAACAGACCAAGGAUAUAAAGGUCUCUCAGUGAGGAGUGUGUGCUGGAGAGGUGAUCAUAUCCUGGUGGGUACUCAGGAUAGCGAGAUAUUCGAGAUCGUGGUUCACGAUCGGAACAAGCCUUUCCUGAUUAUGCAGGGCCACUGCGAGGGGGAGCUCUGGGCCCUGGCUGUUCAUCCCACAAAGCCUUUAGCGAUGACUGGGAGCGA